rnacentral:rRNA from 1 species
GAUGAACGCUAGCGGCAGGCCUAAUACAUGCAAGUCGGACGGGAUUCAGGAGCUUGCUUCUGAUGAGAGUGGCGCACGGGUGCGUAACACGUAUGUAACCUACCUUUAUCAGGGGGAUAGCCUCUCGAAAGAGAGAUUAAGCCCGCAUAAAAUCACAGCACAGCAUUGUGUAAUGAUCAAAUAUUUAUAGGAUAAAGAUGGGCAUGCGGAACAUUAGCUAGAUGGCGGGGUAACGGCCCACCAUGGCGACGAUGUUUAGGGGAUCUGAGAGGAUGGCCCCCCACACUGGUACUGAGGCACGGACCAGACUCCUACGGGAGGCAGCAGUAAGGAAUAUUGGUCAAUGGGCGGUAGCCUGACCCAGCCAUGCCGGGUGCAGGAAGCCGGCGAUACGGGUUGUAAACUGCUUUUAUACGGGAAUAAACCCAGAUACGUGUAUCUGGCUGACUGUACUGUAAGAAUAAGGAUCGGCUAACUCCGUG